rnacentral:misc_RNA from 1 species
GGCGGCCGCCUCUGUCCACCGGGCAGAAGCGCCGCCUCAAAGUCUACCCUGCGGAGUGCACUCGCCUCAACUCUUGGACCUCACCGUCUGGGUUGGCAGAGUGGGUGGCCCCGCAGAGUGUGUGGUGCCUGCAGCCUGCAGAGCCCCGCCUCACAACACACCCU